UCGAGGGGUAACAGGAGUAGCUUGCUACUUGCUGACGACCGGCGCACGGGUGCGUAACGCGUAUACAAUCUACCUUAUACUGGGGAAUAGCCUUUGGAAACGAAGAUUAAUGCCCCAUAGUAUUAUUGAAUGGCAUCGUUUAAUAAUUAAAACUCCGGUGGUAUAAGAUGAGUAUGCGUUCUAUUAGUUAGUUGGUAAGGUAACGGCUUACCAAGACAUCGAUAGAUAGGGGUCCUGAGAGGGAGAUCCCCCACACUGGUACUGAGACACGGACCAGACUCCUACGGGAGGCAGCAGUGAGGAAUAUUGGACAAUGGGCGCAAGCCUGAUCCAGCCAUGCCGCGUGCAGGAAGACUGCCCUAUGGGUUGUAAACUGCUUUUAUAUGGGAAGAAUAAGGGGUACGUGUACUCUGAUGACGGUACCAUAAGAAUAAGCACCGGCUAACUCCGUGCCAGCAGCCGCGGUAAUACGGAGGGUGCAAGCGUUAUCCGGAAUCAUUGGGUUUAAAGGGUCCGUAGGCGGGCAUAUAAGUCAGUGGUGAAAUGCUGUGGCUCAACCAUAGCACUGCCAUUGAUACUGUAUGUCUUGAAUUAUUGUGAAGUGGUUAGAAUAUGUAGUGUAGCGGUGAAAUGCUUAGAUAUUACAUAGAAUACCGAUUGCGAAGGCAGAUCACUAACAAUAUAUUGACGCUGAUGGACGAAAGCGUAGGUAGCGAACAGGAUUAGAUACCCUGGUAGUCUACGCCGUAAACGAUGGAUACUAGUUGUUUGGCUUUCGGGCUGAGUGACUAAGCGAAAGUGAUAAGUAUCCCACCUGGGGAGUACGUUCGCAAGAAUGAAACU
rnacentral:rRNA from 1 species